rnacentral:rRNA from 1 species
CGUGUAGGCGGUUCGGUAAGUUGGAUGUGAAAGCUCCCGGCUCAACUGGGAGAGGACGUUCAAAACUAUUGGACUAGAGGGCGGAAGAGGGAGGUGGAAUUCCCGGUGUAGUGGUGAAAUGCGUAGAUACCGGGAGGAACACCAGUGGCGAAGGCGGCCUCCUGGGCCGCACCUGACGCUCAGACGCGAAAGCUAGGGUAGCAAACG